rnacentral:lncRNA from 1 species
AGGAAGAAAGAAGAAAUAAAAUAAAAAAUAAUCAAAAUACGUGGAUCAGUCACAAAAGAGCUCGCCUCCACAGGGCAUGCAAACUUCACUAUAAAAAUGAAAUUUUACAAGAGAUCUCACCCUCAACUCUCGUACAUCCAAUUUCUCUCUCACUAGAAGUUUUUCUCACAAAAGCUCUCUCUCUUGGAAGACCCCCUGAACCCCUAAAG